UGUUCUGUGGCUUAGUUGGUUAAAGCGCCGGUCUAGCGAAUACGGAGUCGUGGGUUCGAAUCCCACCAGAAUGC
rfam:Aedes albopictus isolate Foshan contig11302, whole genome shotgun sequence.